CCCUUAGAUGUUCUGGGCUGCACGCGCGCUACACUGACGCACACAACAGGUGCCUGCUCCGAGAGGACUGGGUAAUCAUUUGAGUGUGCGUCGUGAUGGGGAUAGAAUAUUGUAAUUAUUACUCUUCAACGAGGAAUUCCUAGUAAGCGCCAGUCAGCAGCUUGCGCUGAUUACGUCCCUGCCCUUUGUACACACCGCCCGUCGCUCCUACCGAUGGGUGAUCCGGUGAAUGAUUCGGACUUCAGCGGCUCCCCUGGGGUGCGCCGGAGAAAGUUUUGUGAACCUUAUCACUUGGAGGAAGGAGAAGUCGUAACA
rnacentral:rRNA from 1 species